UUUGUUUAAUCCGACGGCUUAGCGAGAUUCCAUCAAAUUUUGUUCCAACAUUCCGAUUUUUCAUGCACCCACGUCUCCUCUAAUCUCUCCACUAAUUAUGGAAGCUACAUUCUUCCCGUUUUAUCAACCCACAUACCCCCACUUCUCACGAAGUCGUUAUCCACAGCCUCAUCUACAAUUCUCACGAUCCAUAGCGACGGUCAGCUAUUCUCCCAUGAAUGGCCUCCACCUCGACGAACCGUCAGCUUUCUCCAACGUCCCCGUCCAAGGCAUCUCCCGUCUCACCACACCGGGGUGCAGUCGCCUCAACAGGUGACCGCGGUGCCUAUGACAAGCGGGGGAUUGUCUCAAUAGGCAUGAAAACGUUGAUGCAGGUAAGUGUGGGAAUCAACUAGUAGAUUCCUUCCUCAUGUACGUUCUAGUUCAUGUCAGUCUUUUUUAUACUGCCGAGGAGGUGGCCGGGAGCCGCGCCAAUGCUGCAGAGGAGGUCGUUGUUGCCGGUGGUUGGCUCCGGCGCCCCUUCUUUGUCACAACGAAAGGAUCAUCUUUAGUCAAUAAGUGAUGCUACGUACAUGUCGUGCUUUUGCAUCCGCAGUUCAUGUAUAUUCUGUGAGAAUAUCCUCCCGGGACCUUCGUAAUUCAGUUUGUUCACUUUUUCUUUCACUGGUACAAAUACCCGUGCGUUGCACCGGGUAAAAAAAAAGAACACAACAUGCUUCAUGUGUCAUUAUACAUUAUUUUUUAUGUCCUCACGUUCACUCUGCGGAGCCUUCAAUUCAGCUCUAACUUGAAGUUCAGUUCCAAGUUCACUCUGGAGAGCGUCCAUUUCACCUCUAACUUCAAGCUCAGUUUCAGGUUGACUUUGCGGAGCCUCCUUUUCACCUCUAACUUCAGAACAAUCACUGUUUUCAGCCACUGGUUCAAUCAGGCAUGCAUCCACACGCACAACGCCCGCCUCCGUGUCCUCCUCCACGUCGCUGAGCUAGGGCUGCGUGUGCGCCGGUUCCUCAGCAGGCUCUGAUGGAUGAACAUCCACCAUGGGCAGUUGGUGGUUGGCAUUUAUUUCAACAGCAUCUGCAUCAUUCAAGCCAGCAACAGCAGCAGCUUCAUCGUCCUGACCAUUGUCCUCUAUUUCCAUCUCUUCAUAUUCAUAGGUGACACCAUCAUCAUCUUCACCAUGUUCAUCUGAUUCCACCACCUCUUCAUAUUCAUACUCUGCAUCUUCAUCUUCAGGCCUUGCACCAUCGCGCUCUGGUUCCACCGCAUCUUCGUCUUCAUGGCUGGCGCCGUCCUCCACCAUUACCACCUCGGAGUGAAGAAUCUUCGGAUCCCUCGGCAAUUUAUCGACAUCAUCGCGGUCCACUUCACCGUCACGGCCGGCAGCAGUUCUAGACUCUGCUGGCACCUUGCUCUGAUCUAGAUCGCCACUGCGUGGCUGAUCGAAAUCACCACCCCGUGGUCGCCAGUCUGAAUCCCUCCGGCUGCCACUGUAAGAGUUCCUCGGCCUUGUUCUGCUCCGGCUCCUGCUCCUGCUCGUGCUCCGACUCCGGCUCCUCCGCCUCCGGUCCAGUCUGUGGUCAACAGAGGGCCGGCGGUCAUCGCUGGGAAUUCUUGAAAUGCACGAACAUUAUUUGAAUUAUGAUGAAAAUGGCAAAGUAUGUUUUGUUAAUUAAUGAUAGCAUAUGCAUAAGAACAUUAUUUUUAUCUUGCUGAUAUAUGUGUUUGCAUUUGUAAUCUAAGUGAAGUCUUAAUUUGGUUGCAAACAUAUUAGACAGCUCCAUCGGAAAUAAUCAAUUUGUAAGUACAUGCAUACCAAAUGUUCUAGGUUGCAUAUCAAUAUCGAUAUUUUUAAAAAAAUAAUUAGCAAAACAGUUUAUAUAUAUGAAAAAUUAAAGCUCAGCCAUUUGUUUACGUAAAGCUUGUAUAAACAACAUUGUAUAUUUUUUAUACAUUAAAAACUUUUUUUUGCGUGUGACAUCACAAACAUUAUUGAGUUUUGAUGUCUAAUUUCUUUAAUACGCAUUUUACAUAUUUUGUAUGCAUCAUGAAUAUUUUUUAUAUACAUGUUUUACAUUAUUUAAAUACACGAUUCACAUUUUUGAAAAGUUCUAUUUUUAUGUCUACUUUGUUCCAUACACAUUAUAUAUUUUUGUAUAUGUUUUCUGAUACACCGGAAACAUUUUCCUACGCACAUUUAAAGUUUUUUAAAUACAAGAUCAAUAUUUUUCAAAAUAAAAGAAAAAUAUAUUAUUUAUUGUCCAUACGGACUAUAUUUUUUUUGUAUAUAUGGGAACUUAUUUGUCUACAAAUUUGACAUUUAUUUAAUCCAUGAUUAACAUGUGUGUAAAGUUUGUCGAAAUAAAGGCAAAAGAGAAAAAAAACAGAAAAAGAAGAACAAAAAUGGUUGUAGUCGACAAUGAGGAUCGAACCUGGGUCUCCUGGGUGGGAGGAGGCGCACCCAACCGGUUGGGCUAGCCUGUUCUUGUGAUAAAAUACGGAACCACGGUCUUUAGAAUCAGAAGGGAAGAGCCGAAUCGAAGUGCAAAAAACGAAUCGUUUUUGUCACUUACGGAUGGCAUUGGUGGGUAAUUUUGAUGAACUUUAGGGGCAAAUUUAAUGACGUACCACAGAAGCAAUAGGUGUUUUAUUAGUAGGUAAAGAUAUGCUUCAUACUGCGCCCUCAUCCUUCCUAAACUUCACGUAUUAUUGUGGACAAGAUGCAUAUCUUCAUGAUAUGAGUCUGAAUGACCAUGUAAAAAUCUUUUGUUAUUUCCACUUUUAGAAAUCUAUGUUUCCACCAUGCAUAUUAUGUUGGAUUGCACGCAUAUGAUGGAUCCAAAAUUUACCGAUUCAUACGUUUAAUUAGUUUGCUUCAUAAGCUCCCGAGUUCUAUUUCUUCAACAAUUUGCUUCAUAUGUUUAACACUUGUGCUUCUAUAGUUUUCAGGUUGCUUCGUUUCUGUACUUCCUAUUUGUAGUCAAAUCCAAUAACCCAUGCUUCCUGAAGUUCUGCAAGACCGACCACCGCGGGAGAAGAUGUUUUGCAGAUGAUGAGCAUGGCUGGUGGUCGAUGGUGGAAAGACAUGUGGAAUAAGAUCGACAAUCUCAGUGGCUAGUGUUCUCGUCAUCGGCUUGGAAGCGAACUAGGAAGAUGCGCCCUCGGCUACCAUGGGUUAAGAAUGUUGCCCCUCCAUGAUGCCAUCAUCGCUGCUCCCCAUCCACUCUUGUGCCACGACGAUACCGUCACCUGCUGACUUGUGGGGGAAAUGGAGCUCUUCAAGACUAGGUCGGACAUAGUGGACGAAGUAGAGCAAGGAGAGAGAAUGAUGGAACCGCAACUGCUAAUAAACCAAAAAAGUACAAUCAUAACAUAUGAAAUCAUAUGCAAAAAUAAAGGAAGCACAUCAUGACAAUGUUUGGAGAAACAAUGACUAUGGAUUAUAAAGCAUAAUUUGUAAUUUGUGUUGCCGGAAGCAUCAAUUCCUUCUGACUGAAAUAAAAAUGAAGCAUUGGUUGUGG
rnacentral:lncRNA from 1 species